GCUAUCUGAAUGAAAGCACACAGAUGAAAGUUGGAGCUGCACAGAGAUUAGCACCCUAUGCAAGGAUGACACACAAAAUCAUGAAGCAGGCUGUAUUUUU
rnacentral:snRNA from 14 species